CCCGCUGGGCACAGAGCAGGAGGAGAGGGUGGAGGGGAGCCUGAAGGGAACAGGAGUGUCCUUCCUUCCAGGGCAGGAGGAGUGUCCUUCUCCGUGUCCUCCCGCCCUGGAGAAAAGAGGAAUCACAGCACACACUUGCCUUGGAACACAACACGGCCAUCAGAAGAAGUAUAGACCUACAAACAACGUCAUUGGGUCUUAAAAUCUGGUGCUGAGUUAAAAAAAGACAACAAAGACACAAGAUGGAGAGCCCACCAUGUGCACACGUUUAAAUGCUCAUGUACACGAAGCCAAAUCUUCUCAAAGAUUCGCGGGACAUCCGAGGCACCAACCAGAAGGAGGGCCGUGGGAGCAGGGACUGGAGAUCUGUGAGGGAAAGAUGAAGAGCAAUAAAACAAGAGAGCCCCCCAGGACUGAGCAAUGAGCAGCGUAGGAUCGACUCAGUGCCUCGCCUGGAGGACAGUGACAGACUCCCUGAAUCCUGCUCCCCAGACACCCACUUGUUGGAGACCUCAUACCUCCCUCCAGCCCCGGCUGCCUCUGAGGGGAUUGCUGACCACCCCACCCCCUACGAGACUUGUUGGGUUGCCUCGAAGGCUUGGGCCCACCCGCAUGACUUCUGCAGGCCUGCCUGGUGCUCAGCACACAUCCUCUUUACCGAUCCUGGAGGCUGCUGAAAGGGGCUCUUUUCCAUCCUCGACUCUGGAAGUUCUCAUACACACCCAGCCCACCGUGCCUGGAUCUCCAAAUUUUGUUGAAAUUUCGUUCAACUGCCCACGAUGGGGCAGGGGGGAGUCCAUAGUGACUCAUUUUCCCCAUCUGCUGAGAUGGCUUUUGACAAAUGAAGCCCAGCCAGAUGCUCCUGUGGGACCGAGAGACUGUCCACCUCAGAAGCGAGACCUUGGCUUCCAGGCCAGGAGCACCUCCCAUGUGGAUCUUCAGACUCUCAUCCACCACUACCGUGAUGCAAUUCGAACCACCUGGAAUGAGCACGGAGUCCACAGGGCAAGACUGCCCCCACGUCCGUCACCAGCCACAGGCUCAGGGACCCCCAGGCCACGUGCAAUUCUGACCCACCGGCCACAAAUCUGGAGGGGGGGUUCAUGA
rnacentral:lncRNA from 1 species